UUUGUAUUCCUUCGGUUCGUUCACAGUGGACGUGCAUACGCUGUGGUGCGUAUAUCUGCGUUCUUGAGUUGCAGGAGUCAGACAUCGUCCGAGCAUACGGAAGCAUACCAACGCAUACGGACGUCUUGGCUUCGCAUCGACAGCGACUCUACGCCGACCACGAGCCGUGCAAGAACUGACUACACCUCGUCAACGGUAGGCGACAACAACCGUGAACCUGACGGCGCCUCCAUGGCCGAAGUCCAAAGCAACGCGGUUUACAGUUCAAAUCUCAACGGCCCUCACGUUUGCGGCCAAUGCGGGACGACCUUCAGCCGCCUGCAUCACUUCCGCAGGCACCUGGCCAUGCACCUGUACUGGGAAGCAAUCGACGAGGAACGCGGCGCAAAAGUCGAGGAGAAGGCGGAGCCACUGGACCACCAGCAACUCCACGACAAAGCUGAUCUAGACGCUGGUCGGCGACCACUUGACGAAGCCGAGGAACGUCGGAAAACCUGCGGACAGCUCCCGGGGAAGAGACGGAAGGCAGACGGCGUACAAGGCACCAGUCGCCCAUUGACACGUAGUUACAGAAAGAUGAUUUUAAGGAAACGAAUCAAGAGAGAACACUGACUGAAAUUGCACUCGUAGAAGUGUUCUUCAAGCCCUGUGAUUUCAUUUAAAAGGACCAAUAAA